GAUGAACGCUGGCGGCGUGCCUAAUACAUGCAAGUCGAGCGAACAGACGAGGAGCUUGCUCCUCUGACGUUAGCGGCGGACGGGUGAGUAACACGUGGAUAACCUACCUAUAAGACUGGGAUAACUUCGGGAAACCGGAGCUAAUACCGGAUAAUAUAUUGAACCGCAUGGUUCAAUAGUGAAAGACGGUUUUGCUGUCACUUAUAGAUGGAUCCGCGCCGCAUUAGCUAGUUGGUAAGGUAACGGCUUACCAAGGCAACGAUGCGUAGCCGACCUGAGAGCGUGAUCGGCCAAACUGGAACUGAAACACGGCCCAGACUCCUACGGGAGGCAGCAGUAGAGAAUCUUCCGCGAUGGGCGAAAGCCUGACGGAGCAACGCCGCGUGAGUGAUGAAGGUCUUCGGAUCGUAAAACUCUGUUAUUAGGGAAGAACAAAUGUGUAAGUAACUAUGCACGUCUUGACGGUACCUAAUCAGAAAGCCACGGCUAACUACGUG
rnacentral:rRNA from 1 species